rnacentral:rRNA from 1 species
UACGUAGGGCGCAAGCGUUGUCCGGAAUUAUUGGGCGUAAAGAGCUCGUAGGCGGUUUGUCGCGUCUGCUGUGAAAACCUAAGGCUCAACCUUGGGCUUGCAGUGGGUACGGGCAGACUAGAGUGCGGUAGGGGUGACUGGAAUUCCUGGUGUAGCGGUGGAAUGCGCAGAGUAUCAGGAGGAACACCCGGUGGCGAAGGCGGCUACCUGGAC